UUAGUAAUUUGGGAACGGAAGUUGAAGUUAAUGUCAAAUAAGGAAGAAAAAAUUUUGAGAGCCAAAGAAUAAUUUCUGGUGUCAAAUUCUCCCGAUAAAAAACCGCAAUGGGUGCUCCUUGCUUAACACUAUCAUGUCAUUGUCAACGACGGAUUAAGCACCUCGCUUAUUUGGUGCCUGCACCAUAUGAAACCUCCGGUUCUCUGUUUAUUGCACCACCCUCCCUCAAAAGCGACCUGCACACGCGUAUCGCCGAUCGAGCCAACCCUCCAUUCCGUUUCCUCUGCCUCGCCGUUUCGUCGACUCGUCGUCGUCCUCCUCCCCACGCCUCGCCGACCAUGGCGAACACCGUCCCGCAGAGCGGCCGCGCCGGCGGCGGCAGGAGGUGGCGCGCCCCCACGCGCGGCGACCUCCUGACCUUGCUCGUCGCCGCGAUGCUCUGCUCCGCGUCCUACUGCCUGGGAAUAUGGCAGAACAGCCGCGGCGCCGCGGACAGCCGCGUCCUCGGGCCCAGCGCGGCCGCGACCGUCCCCACACCGUCUUGCGGCGGGGGUGGCGGCGCCCGCGCGGCCGACGCUAACGAGCCGCUUGAAUUCGAGGCCCACCACGCCGCCGAGAGCGCGGGGCUGUCCGUGUCCGCGGUGGCGACGAGGACGACCGGCGCGCGGCGGGCAUUGCGCGGCGCCGGGACGGCGCCCGCGAGCCGGGCCGUGGCGCGGACGGGGAAUCCGGUCCCUGCUGGUGCGGAGGCCACCGCCGCUGGCAAGAGGUGAGCACUGAGCACGCGUGGACGUGAUGGCGACAGGCACGGGCGCCGGUCUCGACGCCGGAGCCGGAGCCGUGUUGAGUUCGCGGCUCUGGCCACAAUCCCGAUGGCGCCGUGGGACUUGUUGGAGUUUAGUGCGGUGCGUGCCUACGUCUGCGUGCGUGUAAUCGGACGGCAUCGUUGCGCUUUAGUGGGCGACCAAAUCAAGAAAGGACGGCAGGCGAGGACAGCCAGCGACCUCGUCAACGAGAGCCGAGCUUGACAUUUUCGUGCAGUGAUCACAUCGAGCGAGCAGGCGACACAUCAGCAAGCGGAAGGAACUUGCAAGAUCUUUCCGUAUCCAAUAUCUUGUACAGCAACAUGUCAUUUUCUUGCGAGCUGCUGCGCUUGGAUCCUGUGUGACGAACUGACGAGUGUUGAGACGGAAACAUGCCUCUCCGUCCGCUGUGAUGCCAGUACCA